rnacentral:rRNA from 1 species
AAAGCCUACGGGAGGCAGCAGUGAGGAAUAUUGGUCAAUGGGCGCGAGCCUGAACCAGCCAAGCCGCGUGAGGGAUGAAGGUACAGAGUAUCGUAAACCUCUUUUGUCAGGGAACAAAGGCGGGGACGCGUCCCCGGAUGAGUGUACCUGAAGAAAAAGCAUCGGCUAACUCCGUGCCAGCAGCCGCGGUAAUACGGAGGAUGCGAGCGUUAUCCGGAUUUAUUGGGUUUAAAGGGUGCGCAGGCGGUCUGUUAAGUCAGCGGUCAAAGCCCGGGGCUCAACCCCGGCCCGCCGUUGAGACUGGC